AUGAACGCUGGCGGCGUGCCUAAGGCAUGCAAGUCGAAGGAGUCGACUUGUCGACUCCUGGCAAACGGGUGAGUAACACGUGUGAAUCUACCUUUCAGUCAGGAACAACCCCGAGAAAUCGGGGAUAAUUCUGGAUAGUCCCCGAAUUUCGGGGUAAAAGGCGUAACUGCCUGCUGGGAGAGGAGCGCGCGUCCCAUUAGCUUGUUGGUAGGGUAAUGGCCUACCAAGGCAACGAUGGGUAGCCGAUCUGAGAGGAUGAUCGGCCACAAUGGCACUGCGACACGGGCCAUACUCCUACGGGAGGCAGCAGCUAGGAAUAUUGCGCAAUGGACGAAAGUCUGACGCAGCGACGCCGCGUGCGGGAUGACAGCCUUCGGGUUGUAAACCGCUCAGCCCCGAGAAAUCGGGGUGAAAAGCACCUACUAACUAUGU
rnacentral:rRNA from 1 species